CUCUUCAAAAAAGAACUUGAUGCUUCCUUUUGUUCAGAACUCUAAAUUAAAUUACAUUCUGAUUAUAAAACCCGGCGAACAAAACAAAUUAUCAGGUGGAAUUAUCAUCUCUGUUUUGCGGCUUUAUUGCAUAUAUUUUAUCCACCGAUUCGGAGAGCAACUCCCGCAGCAACUCAUUUAAGCAGUCCACCUCUUGUGAUUCGUCAACAGGAACAACCAAUCAGAGACCAGCUCGGUUCCGCAACAGAGACAGCAUCAAGGUCACCCGCAAGAGGUUCACCGCCUCCGCCCACUGUUCGUACGACUCCAACAAUGAGUCAUCGGCAGGGUCCAACUCCGAGCUCCACUCGCUCUCUCAGUCGGCCGUCGAUUCGGCUCUCGCGUCCAUUGCGAACGAAGGGGGAGGGGAAGUCCGAAGAGGCAGCAUCGGAAUCUCAAAACUGAAGGCUAUGUCGGAGGACUCCAUGAAAAUGUUGCCGGAAAUAUUCUCGGAAGAAUUGGAUCUGAAAGACAUCAAACCGUUCGAUCCCCGAAAGGAGCCACGGAAGAGUAUUUUGAAGAAGAAAUCUGACUUGGCGUCAAAAAUGAUUUCCUGCGAAAAUAUACCACAAGAAUCAACUCUAAGCGACCAACCAAGUUCGAAGGACGAAGCAUGAACAAUGCGCUUGAUGGUGAUAUUAGCAACUAUGAUCUUAUAAUUUCCAAAAAAAGCUGGCGUCUAAUCGUAACUUUUAAUUAAUUUUGGAUUCGUUCAGCAUUUAUUUUGUAGCAAAAUAAAUUCAUUUUGGAUAAAUAAGAGUUAUAUAUGUAGUAUAUAACAAAUGUAAAGUUUUGUUACGUUAAACUUUCUGGCGGCUAAAAUCUUCUUUCAAUUU